AUUGAACGCCGGCGGCAGGCCUAACACAUGCAAGUCGGGCGAACGAGGCUUCGGCCAAGUGAGCGGCGAACGGGUGAGUAACACGUAGGAAUCUGCCUGGUAGUGGGGGACAACGUCUCGAAAGGGACGCUAAUACCGCAUACGCCCUACGGGGGAAAGCAGGGGCUCUUCGGACCUUGCGCUAUCAGAUGAGCCUGCGUCGGAUUAGCUAGUUGGUAGGGUAAAGGCCUACCAAGGCGACGAUCCGUAACUGGUCUGAGAGGAUGAUCAGUCACACCGGAACUGAGACACGGUCCGGACUCCUACGGGAGGCAGCAGUGGGGAAUAUUGGACAAUGGGGGCAACCCUGAUCCAGCCAUGCCGCGUGUGUGAAGAAGGCCUUCGGGUUGUAAAGCACUUUAGGUCGGGAGGAAGGUUUGCUGGCUAAUAUCCAGCGAAAUUGACGUUACCGACAGGAUAAGCACCGGCUAACUCCGUGCCAGCAGCCGCGGUAA
rnacentral:rRNA from 1 species